CAAUCAAUUUGCUAAGAUUCCCCAAAUAGUCAAACUACCUUGAACUGUAAUUCACUUCUGCAGGCACAUAAAAUGAGCAGCACACAGCUGAAACCUCAAAGCAAGAAAGUAGAGAUGAUCCAGUCACUGUUGGAGGCACAUAGCCACGGCAAAAUCUCAUGCUGUACAUUGAUCACCUGUCCAACCUUUGCCUAGAGUGUGAUCCCCAGUUCCUUCAAGAGAUCCAUCUUUACCUGUCUAUAAAGAAGAAGAGGAGGAGGGAGACAUCUGGGAUAUUCAAGUAUCAAAGUUUAACACCAGAGCAGUUGUCAGAGGAGCUAGCGAAAAAGGAAGAAAAAACUGUAGCACUGGAAGGUAACAAUGAUAAUCUAUUGCAUUGGAUCUCCAAACAUGACCAUGAUAACCUGGAGAAGAUCACAGAUGCAGAAAAUGAAUGCUAAGGUUGAUAUCUAAUGAAAUGCUGCUUUAAUUGGCAUUUUCUCCAUUAUUUCUUGUAGUCUAUUGUGAAAUUAGAUACUUUGGAAAAUAAUGAAGGAGACUCAAGCAGAAAUUAUAAGAACUUCAUUUCUGUUUUUAAUGGGUCUUGUGAGUUAUUCUGUUUUCACAAAGAAACCAUCUGUUCAGAAUAUGAUUGUUUAAUGAAGUUCAGUUAAAUAGGUUAUUUAACUAAUUUUUGGUAAAUUAAUAUUGAUUUUAAUAAGUAAUUCAGAUUCUCUUAGAUGUGGUAUCUGCAUUUGCUGAUUUUACCUAGUCUAUUCUAAAGUAUCACUUCUAUUGCACUAGAUUAUCAAAGAGGUAUUAGUAAAAUGCUAUAUAAGGGUGUUGGCAUUAACCUUACCCCCAGUUAGAUGUGGGCUUUUCCAAAAAGUAAAAACAAGCCUUUACCCUCCUCUGUUUUCUUAUAUCUACUGAUAAAAUAAUAUCAAUUAAAAAACCAAAACCAAACCAAACAAAAAACAAAUAUUGAUAAUAUAACCGGUAUUAAGCUCUGGGCCAGGUUGGAAAUGAAAUCAAUUUUUGGUACUAAUAACUGAUGAAAAAGAUUAGCUUUAUGAAAAUAUGGUGUGUGUCUCUGACAAUGCAUAGGACAUCUAAUUUGAACAUAAAUAUAUGAUUAUAUACAAGAUGUAUCUAUUCCGGGAUGGUAAAAGCUUGAGGCGUAUAUAAAUACAUAUGUAUGUAUAUAUAUGGACAUGUACACAAGGAUGUAUCAACCUUUUACCAUCCAAAUGCAUACAUGUUUUCAAUGAUAAAAGCUGGGACUCUUAAAAAAACAAACAAACAAAAAACAAAAAUAAAAAUAAGAUUGCUGUGAAUACA
rnacentral:lncRNA from 1 species